rnacentral:rRNA from 1 species
UACGGGGGGUGCGAGCGUUGUCCGGAAUCACUGGGCGUAAAGGGCGCGUAGGUGGUUUGAUAAGGGUGUGGUGAAAGCCCGGGGCUCAACCCCGGGUCUGCCGUGCCGACUGUCAAACUCGAGGGCUGUAGAGGCAGACGGAAUUCCGGGUGUAGCGGUGAAAUGCGCAGAUAUCAGGAGGAACACCAAUGGCGAAGGCAGCUCGCUGGGACGUGACUGACGCUGAGACGCGAAAGCGUGGGGAGCAAACAGG